CGCGGGACAACAAACAACAGAAUUAAAGCCGGGAAAAGAAAGAAGCUUUAGAAGAAGAAGAGGAGAAGAAGAAAGCCAAAGAAGAGGAGAAAGGAGAGUAGGGAGAUGUAAAAUCUGCAAUUUUCAUUAAUCAUCAAUAGUUCCUUACAUUUAGAAAAGUAGGGUAUUUAUACUAAAACCCUAACUCGAAUAAGCAAUUGGGCUUAUGACCCAUUAAAUAAAAUAUCCAACAAUAAUUAAAUCCAACCCAACAAAUAAAACCAAAUUCAUAAACCUUAACUAAAAGUCCAUAUGAAUUAAGCCCAAAAACAUAAGCUAAAGCCCAAUUUCUCAAUGGUUUGGGCUAUCCUCCAUCGUCUAUAAUUAUACGCGCGCGUAACCAAUGUUUCCGGUUCGGUGUCCCCAUCAAUUCUCCUGGGGUUGGAAGAACUCGACCCCGUCGAGUAUAGGUCAAGGCAGCUCCGAUAAUGCUCUCAAAGGUAAGGAUCAAGCUGUUAUGAUGUCUCUCUGAUAAUCCAAGUAUAGUCUGAAUCUGGUCGUCGAGCCCAUAUACUAGGAUUUGCGGAAGUUCAUCAUCCCUGGUAAAAACAACUUGUGCAUUCAAAGUAGCAUUAAUAUGUUCCUUUUGUGCCAAAGAUAUGGGUAAUGAGGUAGGGGUAUCAAAAGGAGCAUCAAGCAUAGGUUGUAUUUUAUAAAGAAUAAGGUCCUUCAUGUUAAAAGUAGAGCUAAUAUCAAAGUUUAAUGGCAAUUUAAUGACAUAAUUAUUUGAUUUAAUCAUUUGCAACACUUUGAAUGGUCUAGCACUACUUACUUGCAAUUUAUGAUCAGUUUCCAAAGGACACCGUUCAUGUCUAAUCUGUAUCAUGAAAUAAUCUCCAACAUUAAGUGCAUCAUGAUACUUAAGUAAAUCAGCUUGAAAUUUGUAUUGUUCAUUACUUGCUUGAAUUUGUUUCAUGAUCUCAAUAUGUAAAUUAUGAACCCUACAUGGUAACGACUCAGCUGACUUAGACAUCCUAUCGUGAGGAGAUAUGGGAGGGUGUUCUAUAGGCUUCUCAGGUUUGUAACUAUGAACAUUAAAUGAUUGAGGGUGUGGAAUGUGACAAACAUUGUUUGAAACCUGUGUAGAUAUGGUAUGAACACGAUCAAGUAAACUAGGAUUAUCUUCAUCUUCCUCAUCACGUGCAUGUGGUAAGGGGUCAAAAAGCUCAAUAUGUUGCUCUAAACUUAUGAUGUGCUGGACACCAAGCAUGUGGGAUGAGGAAUCAGGUAGUUUAGGAGGACUAAUAUCAUGAGACUCUUCUAAGACCAUACGUAUCUCUACAGGCAAUUCCACUGAAGAGUUCCCUAAAACUUCCUCUACCAUUGAAGCAGACAUAUCAGACUCUUUUUUAACCUCAGUCUCAAGCUCAUGUGGACUCAUUGUGUUAAGUCCCUCUUUUUGCACAUCCUCGUCAUCCAGGUCGCUAAAAUCCUCAAGAUUAGGCUCAUACACUUCAACACUACAAUAUUCCUCUUUACCUAUAUCCUUAUAUUUUUGGAUGACUAAGGGUUUAGAGGUGCAAUCUAAGGAGAUAUGACCAAAACCUAAACAAUUAGUACACUUAACCUUUGAACUCACCUUAGACACUUCAUUGACAACUCGUUUACCUUUAUCUUUCUUACAAAGUUGGGUGCUACUAGGAUUAGGUCUGUGGGGUGGAGCACCUAACAAAGAAUCACUGUUUCUGAAUUGGGACCUAGUAGGGAUACUAUAAGAGUCCUGACGAUUCUUCCACUGAUUCUUUAUGACCAACUUGUAGUCUUUAACUAAGGUAUAAGCCUGGUCAAGGGUAGAUACACCUUGAAAUGCAACUUCUCUUCUAAGAUCAUCAUUUAAGCCUCUACAAAAUCUACGCAAAGUCAUGGCUUCAUUCUCUCUUAUGGCACAUCUAAUCAUGUAGUCGUUAAACUGCGUUAUAUACUCAUUGAUAGACUUAUUCCCUUGUCUUAGAUUGUUCCAUUGAUCUAAGAGUUUAUUCCUAUAAGACUGGGGUAGGUACUUCUCCUGAAGUUUUUGUUUCAUUUUGAUCCAAUCAGUUAUAGGAGGUUUAUCUCUCAUCUCUAAACAAUCCUCAACAUCUCUCCAAUAAAUUUUGGCUUCAUCAAUGAGCAUCAUCUUAGCAAAUCUAACUUUUCUAUUAUCAGACAAGUUAUGCCACUCAAAGAAUCGAUCCAUAUCACGAAUCCACAUAUCAAAUAUCCAAGGAUCAUGACGACCAUCAAAAGUGGGGGGUUUUAUUUUGCUAGGACUCAAGACUCGCUCAUCAAAGUCAUCAUGUUUAGAGUAACCUAAAUGAUAGUCAUACUGGUGGCGCUUAGAGUGAGCUUGUCCAUAAUGAUUGUUCUUGUGAUAUUCAUUAGUCUUUAAGUGCCUUAUUCGAAAACUCUCUUGGGGCUCAAUUCUUCUAAACAUAUUGAUCACCUAAGUUUGCAGUGCCCUUUAAAUGGUCAUAAGAAUAUGACUAAGGGUUAAGUCUACGGUAAGUGUAAACUUAAGUUUGGACACUAGAUGAUCAUGACACAAAAGCAUACAACACUCACUUAGAAAUGAAAUUGAGAUCACAAAUGGUUCUUACAAGUGAAAUCACAAUACAAAAAUAAAGCUAAUUUUUUUUUUUAUCCUUUUUUUCUUCUUCUUAAAUGUGGAGAUUAAUCAAGAACAAAUUACACUAAUAAAAUUGUAAGCAUGUAAUACUAAAUUCUUAAGUGUAAAUGAUUAAUCAAAUACGAUGUCAUAAGCAAGAAUUCAUAAUUAUCAAAUAAAAUAAGAUAUUAGCUAUCAUUGAUGAAAGAGGUUGAUGAACAAAAAUUAACAAUUAAAAUUCUAGGUGAGAUUUUUUUUUUUUAGGAAUUUUCUUGGCACAAAAGUAAUAUUAAUAAUACCUUAAAUGACAAGUGAAAAACCAAGAAACGUAAACUUCAACAAAUAUGUGAGAGUGAUUCACUAACUAGAGUGCUGGGAGGAAGCUGGAGCUGACGUGGCAAACCAGAUGAAUGGACUGCUGACAUGGCAGAUGACAUGGCCAGUUUGCUGACGUGGUGGGUGACGGGGACGCUCAUGUCUGCCGUGGCAGGGUGGCAUGUCUGGAGGGGCAGUUGACGUGGCGGUCAGCGCUGAUGUGGCAGGUACGAUGACGUGGCACACGACAUGGCAAGAUCUGCUGGCGUGGCAGGUGACACUGAUGCUGGCGUGGCGAUGACGUGUCUAGGUUAAUUAUAUUCUCAGCUGUGGUUUUCUUUCUUUCUUCCGUAGCUUCUGUGACCCGUUGCCGCCGCUGUCGGCGAUGGCUCACUCCGUGCUCAUGCUUGGGGCCAGCGGCGCGAGAGGAAGAGGUGGUGGUGUCGGGUGUCGCUGCUGGGUGGGGCUGUUGAUCCGGUGUCGCUGCUGGGCGGGGGCUGCUGCCGAAGGUGAGGGCGCUGUGGAUGGGUGGUCGCGGCUGGUGCUGUUGCUGGGGUGCGGUUGAUGGCGCUGAUGGUUAGCAACGCUGGAACCAGCGACUGAGAGCUACGGUGGCUGUGGCGCUGCAGGUUUGUUGAAGGCAGUACCUUGGCGUGGUGUGCGAUCGAUGGCUGUGGUCGGCGUUGAUGUGGAGUGGCCGAUUGUUCUGUGGAACUGAUGUGCAGGUCUUCUUGGUGGCGGGCUGCCGCUGAUGCUCGCCUGGGGCGCCGCUGAUGGCGGGGCGCCGAAGACAGUGACGAUGAACAGUGAAGAUGAGCUGAUCUCGGUUUUGGUGGCUAUUGGGGAUGCCCAAACUGCUCUCUGGUGAGGAUGAAACUGGUUGAUGCGUGGAUCCGUUGUGAUGGGUGUUGUGGGUAGCUGUUGCUGGUGGUUUCGUGCUGCUGAAGCCGAAGAUCCACUGAUGUCUCUUGCGGUGUCAAUCUGGUGGUUGCCGCUGGUCUGUGUCGGAGGUAGCAAAUCGGCGUGGAUCGGUGGACUGAUUUGUAGGUCUUCUCGGUGGUGGGUCUGUCGUUGUGACUGGCUGAGACGCCGCAGAUGGCAGGGGCGCCGCUGCUGGAAACCCGAUUACAGUGGAUGAUGAACAGUGAUUUGAACAGUGAAUAGUGAACAGUGAACCGUGGUUUCUUGUAAUUAGAACAGUAGGGUUUUGAACAUGGAUUUUUUUUUUUUUUUUUUUACAGUAGGGUUUCACAUAAACGCAUAGAUCGUUUAAUUGUAAGAACAAUUAAAAGCCAUGCUCUGAUACCAAAUUUGACGCGGGACAACAAACAACAGAAUUAAAGCCGGGAAAAGAAAGAAGCUUUAGAAGAAGAAGAGGAGAAGAAGAAAGCCAAAGAAGAGGAGAAAGGAGAGUAGGGAGAUGUAAAAUCUGCAAUUUUCAUUAAUCAUCAAUAGUUCCUUACAUUUAGAAAAGUAGGGUAUUUAUACUAAAACCCUAACUCGAAUAAGCAAUUGGGCUUAUGACCCAUUAAAUAAAAUAUCCAACAAUAAUUAAAUCCAACCCAACAAAUAAAACCAAAUUCAUAAACCUUAACUAAAAGUCCAUAUGAAUUAAGCCCAAAAACAUAAGCUAAAGCCCAAUUUCUCAAUGGUUUGGGCUAUCCUCCAUCGUCUAUAAUUAUACGCGCGCGUAACCAAUGUUUCCGGUUCGGUGUCCCCAUCAACCACGGCAGAGAUUGUGUCGAAUCACCCCUAUGAAAGAAAGUGGUUCCACUCCCCAUAUUAAGGGCUUUAAAAUGGAAUUGAGCUGGACAGCAGAUGGAGUUGCAGCAAUUUCAACAUAGGACUAACUAAACAAAAGGAUAACAACAAUAAUAAAUAAGUUUUAAAGCAAGAAAAAGAAUACAGCAUAGGAAAGGG
rnacentral:lncRNA from 1 species